UGGGGAAUAUUGGACAAUGGGCGCAAGCCUGAUCCAGCAAUGCCGCGUGAGUGAUGAAGGCCUUAGGGUUGUAAAGCUCUUUUACCUGGGAUGAUAAUGACAGUACCGGGAGAAUAAGCUCCGGCUAACUCCGUGCCAGCAGCCGCGGUAAUACGGAGGGAGCUAGCGUUAUUCGGAAUUACUGGGCGUAAAGCGCACGUAGGCGGCUUUGUAAGUAAGAGGUGAAAGCCUGGAGCUCAACUCCAGAAUUGCCUUUUAGACUGCAUCGCUCGAAUCAUGGAGAGGUCAGUGGAAUUCCGAGUGUAGAGGUGAAAUUCGUAGAUAUUCGGAAGAACACCAGUGGCGAAGGCGGCUGACUGGACAUGUAUUGACGCUGAGGUGCGAAAGCGUGGGGAGCAAACAG
rnacentral:rRNA from 1 species